UUCGGGGUCACAAAAAAGUCUAUUAACUUCACAAGUAAUUGAUACUUUAAUUUUAUUGCUGUAAUUUUACAAAAUACUGGCCAACAUGGCAAAAACCCGUCUCUCUGAAAAUACAAAAAUUAGCCGGGCAUGGUGGCAGGCACCUGUAAUCCCAGCUACUUGCAAGUCUGAGACACAGGAAUCACUUGAACCUGGGAGGCGGAGGUUGCAGUGAGCCGAGAUCACACCACUGCAUGCUAGCCUGAGCAAAAAAAAAAAAAAAAAAGAAAAGGAAAAGAAAAAGAAAAUCAAAACAGCUAGCAGCUAGAGGAUAUCCUAAAGAAGCAAGGGCAAGGAAAAUGGUCCAAGCAAAUGGACAAAGCCUCUGAAUGGCU
rnacentral:lncRNA from 1 species